GAUGAAGAACGUAGCGAAAUGCGAUACUUGGUGUGAAUUGCAGAAUCCCGUGAACCAUCGAGUCUUUGAACGCAAGUUGCGCCCGAAGCCACUAGGCCGAGGGCACGCCUGCCUGGGCGUCACACGUCGUUGCCCCCCCCCCCAUCUACUCCUUCGGGAUUGCGGGGGGCGGAUGAUGGCCUCCCGUGCGCCUAGCCGCGCGGUUGGCAUAAAUACCAAGUCCUCGGCGACGCACGCCACGACAAUCGGUGGUUGCGAAACCUCGGUUGCCCGUCGUGUGCGUUCGUCGCGCAUNNNNGGCUCGAAAAAAUGCUCGGCUCCGGCUCGGCUUUCAACGCGACCCCAGGUCAGGCGGGGUUACCCGCUGAAUUUAAGCAUAUCAAUAAGCGGAGGA
rnacentral:misc_RNA from 1 species